AGUGAACGCUGGCGGUAGGCCUAACACAUGCAAGUCGAACGGCAGCACAGUAAGAGCUUGCUCUUACGGGUGGCGAGUGGCGGACGGGUGAGGAAUACAUCGGAAUCUACUUUUUCGUGGGGGAUAACGUAGGGAAACUUACGCUAAUACCGCAUACGACCUACGGGUGAAAGCAGGGGAUCUUCGGACCUUGCGCGAUUGAAUGAGCCGAUGUCGGAUUAGCUAGUUGGCGGGGUAAAGGCCCACCAAGGCGACGAUCCGUAGCUGGUCUGAGAGGAUGAUCAGCCACACUGGAACUGAGACAGGGUCCAGACUCCUACGGGAGGCAGCAGUGGGGAAUAUUGGGCAAUGGGCGCAAGCCUGAUACAGCCAUACCGCGUGGGUGAAGAAGGCCUUCGGGUUGUAAAGCCCUUUUGUUGGGAGAGAAAAGCAGCAGGUUAAUACCCCGCUGUUCUGACGGUACCCAAAGAAUAAGCACCGGCUAACUUCGUG
rnacentral:rRNA from 1 species